AACGAACGCUGGCGGCAUGCCUAACACAUGCAAGUCGAACGAGACCUUCGGGUCUAGUGGCGCACGGGUGCGUAACGCGUGGGAACCUGCCCUUAGGUUCGGAAUAACUCCCCGAAAGGGGUGCUAAUACCGGUUAAUGUCUUCGGACCAAAGAUUUAUCGCCUUUGGAUGGGCCCGCGUUGGAUUAGCUAGUUGGUAGGGUAAAAGCCUACCAAGGCGACGAUCCAUAGCUGGUCUGAGAGGAUGAUCAGCCACACUUGGACUGAGACACGGCCCAGACUCCUACGGGAGGCAGCAGUAGGGAAUAUUGGACGAUGGGCGAAAGCCUGAUCCAGCAGUGCCGCGUGAGUGAUGAAGGCCUUAGGGUUGUAAAGCUCUUUUACCCGGGAUGAUAAUGACAGUACCGGGAGAAUAAGCUCCGGCUAACUCCGUG
rnacentral:rRNA from 1 species